UGAUUGAAAAAUCAAAGCAGCAACAAAACAAAAUACAGAAGAAAAUAAGUGUAUGAUCAUAUCAAUUCCUUGGCGCGUCCUAAUGAAUUCUGUUUUUUUAGGUAAAUACGGUUGACAAUAAGACAUCGAGGCGUAGUAGCCUAGCUAGCUCCUCCCAGAUCCCGCCGGCCCGUAGUGGCGUAGCAUGAGUCCGCCAACUGAGGGGGUGCUGGAACGAUAGGGGCACCGGUCGUACUCGAAAAAUGAAAUGGCAGAGGGAGGGGUGUCCCCGUGCUCCAUGGCCAUGGCUACGCCAUUUCCGCUCACCCCGGCACACGGUUAUCCACUCUCCUUUCUCUCUACGUGACCUUCCAUAAUUGAAACUGAGCGUGCUAGCUAGCAGUUGUGCUGAUUUGUAUAGAAUACUGCAUGCUGCAAAACGAUUCAAAACGAUGCUUUUGUGCAAGACUUGUGUACAUGGCAAAACCAUUGAGGGAUUUCAUAUACGUAAGUGUGUCAGAUCAGAGGCUGUUCGAAUGAACUAAAUUUAUACUCAACGGAGCAAUUGGAGGUAAAAUCAAGUUACCACAAAUGGAAUCGGCAUGUAUUGAUGUGAAGAACAACCUGUGCCCGUUUUCAGACGGAAAUCUCUCCCAUUCUCGUAGUGAACGCUUCAUUGGUGAAUAACUAAAAUGGGAAGUCCUCCUCGAAACGGAGGGGGAGGACGAGGGCGCCUGUGGUUUCGUGCUCGAUGGGGUUGGGUUGUGACCGCGGCCGGAUUUGUCAUCAAUCUCGUCAUCUACAACGUCCUCUAUUGCUUUGGAAUCCUUCUGGUAACGUUUCAACAUGAAUUCAAGACCGACACCGUGACGACAGGUUGGGUGGGCUCGCUAGGCAUCGGGGUGUCCUGCUUGUCCUCACCCAUCGCCAACCCUCUCAUCGAGCGGUUCGGCAACCGAGUCGUCAUCGUCGUCGGCAUCCUCCUUUCUUUCAGCUCCAUGAUGUUGACUUCUUUCAUGCCCAUCCUCGAGGUCAUGUAUUUGACUUAUAGCGUCCUCUACGGGUUAGGUGCGGGAUUGCAGCUCAUGAGUAGCAUUAACCUAGCCCUUCAGUACUUCCCUACCCGCAACUCCACCCGAUCUGUCUGCAUCAUCAUGGCCGGUGCCAACAUCGGCAUGUUGUGUACGGGACCCUUCCUUCUGUAUCUGGUGAAGACUGUUGGCUGGCGAAACAGCCUCCGUGUGAUGGGCACGAUCAUGCUCGGCAUAGGGCUUCCACUGACCUACGUGUACGACCAACCAAAGACCUAUCUGCCUCAUAUCAGCAACUCCGAAGACACCAAGGAUGUGUCAACGCGAGAUGUUAUACCACAGACAGAAGAGUGCCUUCCGUCAGGCGGUGAGGACGUCAUCGAACUGAAAGUGUACUCCUCUGACAUGAGCUCGGGGAAAGAAAGCGAACCUCUGAAGCACAGGAACCCAGAUCUCCAUGGAUACGACAAGAUAUCCUCAGAGGAUGGUAGAGAGGCAAAUCAAAAGAAAAACUUAUUUUGGCGUAUCCUGGUGGCCUUAACCUUCCCAGAUCUGUGGAUGUUCUGUUUGGCCUGCCUCGGUUAUGGUUCCUGUUCUUCUUUCGUCUACGUGCAUUUGGUUCCUUACGUCUUGUCCGUGGGUUUUACGGAGGAGAACGGCGUGCAGGCGAUCAUGGCUAUCGGUAUCUCGACCCUGCUCGGAAAAUUUUUCCUGUCGUCUGUUGGUGAUCUAGUUCCAUUUCCGAAAAUUUUCCUUUUCUUGGUAGCCUCUGCAGUUGGAAUCUCGCUCUCUAUCUACCUCUUCUUCAUCAGCAGUAUCAUCGAAAUAUUUUUCAUAAUCAUAACUAUGGGCCUGAUGGUUAACAGUAUUUGCGACUCGUUGCCUUACUCUGUGUGCAACCAGGUCUUCGGGGUCGAGAAGGGUAUGGAAACCUGGACAAUAGUCACCUGUUUUCAUGGUGUUGGGUAUCUGAUAUCCUCCGUGUUUGGAAAGAGCGUUGAUCAGACGGGGUCCUACAACGGUGCAAUUUGGGCUACGAUUGUAAUCUACGCGGUUUCAGGUCUACUCUGUGUACUGGUUCCGGUCUAUCAGAGACUGUUUGCACGCGAAAGGUUUGUCAUGGCUGACUCAUUGCAAAACAAAUGCUGCUCCAGAAGAUGUGGCCGGUGGGAGCGUGAAAGUAAAGAGAAGACCGAUGAAAAAUAUGCUUGCUAAGGGAAUGAACAAUGUCCUAUUUGGCACAAAUGUCCCUUGGGGUGUGACUUGGAGACAGGUGGAUAAGAAGACGGAGAGGGCGCUCCAUGUGUAAUGGUUUUAGAACUGCCUACAAAUAUUAGUGUAGUGUACGAGUAAUGUUUGAAACAUUUUCCAAAUGAAAAUCUGUCAGAUUUUGUAAUUACAAACAUAUCACGUUCUUGCCUUCAUUUAAAGGAGAAUGCAUUUAUAAAAUGGAAUUUAAAUGGUAACAUAUCUAUAUGAAUGAAUAGUUUAUGGCAGAUUUUAUUUUAACACAAAAUGUUGACGAAAAUAAAAUAUGAAUAUAAAGGAAAUUAGUGGUGUAGAUAAUUGCACGUUCAUAUCAAAAUCAUAAAUGAUACAUUCGAGGCAGAAAGUGGACUAUAUAUUUGUGUAGGUGUGUGUCCGAGUGUGUGUGAUUUUUGUCUGUAAAGUGAUAGUAUUAUUAGAAAUACAAUCUUACGAAGCGGAGGUUCAGGUCGGACAGCCAUGUACAACUAAUGUUGUUUGGUGGUCACAUAAUAGAAGACAUAUCUUCAAGCCAAUUCCAUGUAUUGUAUGUAGAUAUGUUCAAUCAAUGAACCUGUGUAAGUAAAAAUAUACAGUGAGGUUCACAUUGGGACGUAUCUCUAAAACAAGCAAAACCAAGGAAAAUAAUUAAUCACUGACGUUCAUUUUGCAAGCAAAUACUUCUCCAUAGCUAAUAUCACAUUCCGUGAAUAAUUAUUUAAAGAAUUGAGACUCUAAAAAUUUGAAGACAUGGUCGCAUACCAACAAUCCACUACCAGGUAUAAGUUUGUAUUUCAUCAUCUCCCCAAAUUUUCUUUGUAAUAAGUUUUUAUAUUAAUCUUAAUAUACAUAUCUAUCACACAAGGUCUGUAAGAAACAUUUACACACAAAUAUUCGUUUUACCUGGUACCAAACAACAAUUUAAACGUUCGCUCUACAUAGUAUAAGGAAAAUAUUUUUUGGACAGUACAAUUCGUAGAACAUAUUAUAGUUGUUAUAGGUAAAUGUUUAAUCAUUUCAUACUUUUGUAUUUUGUAUGCAUUUGAAUAUUUUGGUAUGAUUGUAUUUAUAUUAUAAAUUUUGUAUAAGUUGUGAAAUGUUUAUGUAUAUGUAUCACCUGGAAGGAAAGUUUCUUCAUUCUUUGGAAGAAGACAAUAAAAUUUUAUUCUAUUCUAUUCUAUACACUUUUUCCAUUUUGUUUGUUUGUUCCCGUCCCCCUUGUUUGUUUCUCCUCUACAUGUAAAUUAUUAUUAUCAUGUAAUUUGUAUGUAUCAUAAUGUGUCUUUGUUAUGAAGACCCCACCACAAGCCCUAUGCUUUUAGGGAAUUUUGCCUCCUCCCUAAAUUGUAAAUAUAGGCCUAUAUUUCAUAUUAUAUUCACUUUGUUUUUGUGAAUUAAAUAAUUUGUGAUUGACUUGAAUAUGAUAUAUAAUACACGUGUGUAUUAUACACAUGUUCAAUAUCUGAAUGAAAGCAAUGAAAUAUUUGCAAAUACAGACGA